ACGGGUGAGUAACGCGUGGGUAACCUACCCUGUACACACGGAUAACAUACCGAAAGGUAUGCUAAUACGGGAUAAUAUAUUUGAGAGGCAUCUCUUAAAUAUCAAAGGUGAGCCAGUACAGGAUGGACCCGCGUCUGAUUAGCUAGUUGGUAAGGUAACGGCUUACCAAGGCAACGAUCAGUAGCCGACCUGAGAGGGUGAUCGGCCACAUUGGAACUGAGACACGGUCCAAACUCCUACGGGAGGCAGCAGUGGGGAAUAUUGCACAAUGGGCGAAAGCCUGAUGCAGCAACGCCGCGUGAGUGAUGAAGGCCUUCGGGUCGUAAAACUCUGUCCUCAAGGAAGAUAAUGACGGUACUUGAGGAGGAAGCCCCGGCUAACUACGUGCCAGCAGCCGCGGUAAUACGUAGGGGGCUAGCGUUAUCCGGAUUUACUGGGCGUAAAGGGUGCGUAGGCGGUCUUUCAAGUCAGGAGUGAAAGGCUACGGCUCAACCGUAGUAAGCUCUUGAAACUGGGAGACUUGCGUGCAGGAGAGGAGAGUGGAAUUCCUAGUGUAGCGGUGAAAUGCGUAGAUAUUAGGAGGAACACCAGUUGCGAAGGCGGCUCUCUGGACUGUAACUGACGCUGAGGCACGAAAGCGUGGGGAGCAAACAGGAUUAGAUACCCUGGUAGUCCACGCUGUAAACGAUGAGUACUAGGUGUCGGGGGUUACCCCCUUCGGUGCCGCAGCUAACG
rnacentral:rRNA from 1 species